CAAUUGAUAUUUUAUCGUAUGUUUUUCUUUGUUGUGAUGUUAUGCUAUUGUUUCAGAAAAAGGGAGAAGGUUUGGAUCCAUUAAAACGUUUAAUCCCGCUGCAAAUGUUUGCACUUGUCCUAAGUCAGGAAUCUGAUGUACAGUAGUUGUCGUUUGUUUAUGUAAUAUAUACGUGUUUCUCGUUUCUCGUUUUGUUUAUAUUUUUGUUUGGUUUUCCCGUUUGAAUGGUUUUACACUAGUAAUUUUGGGGCCCUUUAUAGCUUGUUGUUCGGUGUGAGCCAAGGCUCCGUGUUGAAGGCCGUACUUUAACCUAUAAUGGUUUACUUUUUAAGUUGUUAUUUGUAUGGAGAGUUGUCUCAUUGGCACUCACAC
rnacentral:lncRNA from 1 species